UGAAGGGUUUUUUGUGUCUCUAUUUCCUUC
rnacentral:piRNA from 1 species